rnacentral:rRNA from 1 species
UACGGAGGGUGCAAGCGUUAUCCGGAUUCACUGGGUUUAAAGGGCGCGUAGGCGGCGUGACAAGUCACUUGUGAAAUCUCCGGGCUUAACUCGGAACGGUCAAGUGAUACUGUCGUGCUAGAGUACAGGAAGGGCACUGGAAUUCUCGGUGUAGCGGUGAAAUGCGUAGAUAUCGAGAGGAACACCUGCGGCGAAGGCGGGUAGCUGGGCCGACACUGACGCUGAGGCGCGAAAGCCAGGGGAGCGAACGGG